rnacentral:rRNA from 1 species
AUUGAACGCUGGCGGCAUGCCUUACACAUGCAAGUCGAACGGCAGCGCGGGAGCAAUCCUGGCGGCGAGUGGCGAACGAGUGAGUAAUGCAUCGGAACGUGCCCGGUAGUGGGGGAUAACUGCUCGAAAGAGCAGCUAAUACCGCAUACGACCUGAGGGUGAAAGGGGGGGAUCGCAAGACCUCUCGCUAUCGGAGCGGCCGAUGUCGGAUUAGCUAGUUGGUGGGGUAAAGGCCUACCAAGGCAACGAACCGUAGCUGGUCUGAGAGGACGACCAGCCACACUGGGACUGAGACACGGCCCAGACUCCGACGGGAGGCAGCAGUGGGGAAUUUUGGACAAUGGACGCAAGUCUGAUCCAGCCAUGCCGCGUGCGGGAAGAAGGCCUUCGGGUUGUAAACCGCUUUUGUCAGGGAAGAAAUCUUCUGGGCUAAUACCCUGGGAGGAUGACGGUACCUGAAGAAUAAGCACCGGCUAACUACGUGCCAGCCGCCGCCGUAAGAC